GAUGAACGCUGGCGGCGUGCCUAAUACAUGCCAGUCGAGCGAACAGACGAGGAGCUUGCUCCUCUGACGUUAGCGGCGGACGGGUGAGUAACACGUGGAUAACCUACCUAUAAGACUGGGAUAACUUCGGGAAACCGGAGCUAAUACCGGAUAAUAUAUUGAACCGCAUGGUUCAAUAGUGAAAGACGGUUUUGCUGUCACUUAUAGAUGGAUCCGCGCCGCAUUAGCUAGUUGGUAAGGUAACGGCUUACCAAGGCAACGAUGCGUAGCCGACCUGAGAGGGUGAUCGGCCACACUGGAACUGAGACACGGUCCAGACUCCUACGGGAGGCAGCAGUAGGGAAUCUUCCUCAAUGGGCGAAAGCCUGACGGAGCAACGCCGCGUGAGUGAUGAAGGUCUUCGGAUCGUAAAACUCUGUUAUUAGGGAAGAACAAAUGUGUAAGUAACUAUGCACGUCUUGACGGUACCUAAUCAGAAAGCCACGGCUAACUACGUG
rnacentral:rRNA from 1 species